AUUGAACGCUGGCGGCAUGCCUUACACAUGCAAGUCGAACGGCAGCACGGGAGCAAUCCUGGUGGCGAGUGGCGAACGGGUGAGUAAUAUAUCGGAACGUGCCCGGUCGUGGGGGAUAACGUAGCGAAAGCUACGCUAAUACCGCAUACGACCUACGGAUGAAAGCGGGGGAUCGCAAGACCUCGCGCGAUUGGAGCGGCCGAUAUCAGAUUAGGUAGUUGGUGAGGUAAAGGCUCACCAAGCCGACGAUCUGUAGCUGGUCUGAGAGGACGACCAGCCACACUGGGACUGAGACACGGCCCAGACUCCUACGGGAGGCAGCAGUGGGGGAAUUUUGGACAAUGGGCGCAAGCCUGAUCCAGCAAUGCCGCGUGCAGGAUGAAGGCCUCGGUUGUAACGUAG
rnacentral:rRNA from 1 species